AGCGAACGUUAGCGGCGCGCCUAACACAUGCAAGUCGAGCGUGAAAGGGAGCAAUCCUGAGUAAAGCGGCGGACGGGUGCGUAACACGUAGAUAACCUGCCCUUCGCAGGGGGAUAACGUUCCGAAAGGAACGCUAAUACCGCGUACAGCGUUUGAGGGUUCGCCCUUGGACGGCAAAGACUGGGACUCGCAAGGGCCAGUCGGGGAAGGAGGGGUCUGCGGCCCAUCAGCUAGUUGGUAAGGUAAUGGCUUACCAAGGCAAAGACGGGUAGCUGGUCUGAGAGGAUGAUCAGCCACACUGGUACUGGAACACGGACCAGACUCCUACGGGAGGCAGCAGUGGGGAAUCUUGGUCAAUGGGCGCAAGCCUGAACCAGCGACGCCGCGUGAGUGAUGAAGGCCUUCGGGUUGUAAAGCUCUGUGGGGAGGGACGAAAGAGCACGUUCUAACAGGACGUGUGUUGACGGUACCUCCUUAGCAAGCACCGGCUAACUCUGUGCCAGCAGCCGCCGUAA
rnacentral:rRNA from 1 species